UUUCCGUAGGUGAACCUGCGGAAGGAUCAUUAUUAUAUAACCGUGAUGCGAGGUCUGUCGCUGACCCGCAAGGUCGUGCACGUCUGAGUGGCCUUACACACAUCCAUGUCACCCCUAUGUGUACUACUGCGACGGUCUCUCUUAGACUUGUUCGGAGGGGGGAAUACGUUUUCAACUAUCCUCAGCAUGCCGUGUAGCUUGUAUUUUUUGUUUUUACGCUCCCGAACUCAAUACAACUUUCAUCAACGGAUCUCUUGUCUCUCGCAUCGAUAUACAACC
rnacentral:misc_RNA from 1 species